UUAUGACAUCACAAUCACUCAACAAUCAGCGCACAAGUGUGUAGCGCGGUGUGUUAUGUAAAAACUUUAAUGGCACAAGAAUUGCAAAAACUGUUAUUAGUUAUUUUUCUGCAUAUACAAUAUAGAAGUUCCAGGUUAUAUACGAUUUAAUAUUCCACACAGGAGAAUUCCUAUUAACCAAAUAUACUGAAUAUUAAAGUUGUUUCUUGGUUUCUUAUGUGCUGAAGUGAUAAGUGAUAACUCUCAACACCAUGUAUGACGAUGAUGACUUGGAUUUACAAGCUGAGGAAGAGGAAGAAAUUUCCCCCGAGAUGUGGCAGGAGGCUUGCUGGAUUGUUAUAAGGUUUCUAUUUUUAAUGUUUUAUGUGCUAACGCUAAAAAUUGCACACACAAACUCUAGGUUUACCCUUAUUCCCAAAUACAAAUUCUCUGGCCUAAAUAUACCAAUAGGCCUAAUAAAUAAUUUUGCCAUAAAAAGGCAUAAAAUAUUGCAUGAAUAAAAGUAAACCUCCACAUCGGGUCAUAAUGAAGAUGCAGUUUAGUUGCUGACUUGCUGCAUUUCAUUUUUUAGA